rnacentral:rRNA from 1 species
UACGUAGCAGCAAGCGUUGUUCGGAAUUACUGGGCGUAAAGAGUGUGUAGGCGGUGUCGUAAGUUUGGCGUGAAAUCUCCCGGCUUAACUGGGAGGGUGCGCCGAAGACUGCGGUGCUUGAGGAUCGGAGAGGAAAGUGGAAUUUCUGGUGUAGCGGUGAAAUGCGUAGAUAUCAGAAGGAACACCUGUGGUGUAGACGGCUUUCUGGACGAUUCCUGACGCUGAGACACGAAAGCGUGGGUAGCAAACAGG